rnacentral:tRNA from 1 species
GCGCCUGUAGCUCAGCUGGAUAGAGCAGCGGCCUUCUAAGCCGCGUGCCGCAGGUUCGAAUCCUGCCAGGCGCG